UACGUAGGGGGCAAGCGUUAUCCGGAUUUACUGGGUGUAAAGGGAGCGUAGACGGCAGCGCAAGUCUGGAGUGAAAUGCCGGGGCCCAACCCCGGAACUGCUUUGGAAACUGUGCAGCUGGAGUGCAGGAGAGGUAAGCGGAAUUCCUAGUGUAGCGGUGAAAUGCGUAGAUAUUAGGAGGAACACCAGUGGCGAAGGCGGCUUACUGGACUGUAACUGACGUUGAGGCUCGAAAGCGUGGGGAGCAAACAGG
rnacentral:rRNA from 1 species